AUUGCAGUCUGCAACUCGACUGCAUGAAGUCGGAAUCGCUAGUAAUCGCGGAUCAGCAUGCCGCGGUGAAUACGUUCCCGGGCCUUGUACACACCGCCCGUCACACCAUGAGAGUCGGGAACACCCGAAGUCCGUAGCCUAACCGCAAGGGGGCGCGGCCGAAGGUGGGUUCGAUAAUUGGGGUGAAGUCGUAACAAGGUAAC
rnacentral:rRNA from 1 species